rnacentral:rRNA from 1 species
UACGGAGGGUCCAAGCGUUGUCCGGAAUCACUGGGUGUAAAGGGUGCGCAGGCGGGCUUAUAAGUCAGGGGUGAAAGCCACCGGCUCAACCGGUGAAUUGCCCUUGAUACUGUAAGUCUUGAGUCCUGGAGGGGCUGUCGGAAUUCGUGGUGUAGCGGUGAAAUGCGUAGAUAUCACGAGGAACACCGGAGGUGUAAACGGACAGCUGGACAGGUACUGACGCUCAGGCACGAAAGCGUGGGGAGCGAACAGG